CUCUACAGCUAUACUGCUAUGAGCUGUGAUCUUGUCAGAUCUCAUAAGCUAAGCAAGGCGGGCCUGGUCAGUACAUGAAGAUUGCCAAGGGAAAAAAUAAGUCUGCAGAAC
rnacentral:rRNA from 1 species